rnacentral:lncRNA from 1 species
CAAACAUAAUGGUAACAAUGAGAGCAGCUACAACUGAACUAGAUGUUGCUAUCUCCUUCAUCCAUUUCUCCCCUUCUUUUACCAAGUCUGCAUGCUGCUGAGAGAACACCUCACUGGCCUUUUUUCCAUCUGAGUUUGUAAGGUCCUUGAAUAUUGGUGGCACAAUGUUUUUCACCUCCUAUAGUAACAUCAUGAAAAAUUUGAAAAGCAUGCUACUAAGAUGUAGGUGAAUACUUGAUUGGUUGUCUAAAUUCCAGGAAAAAAAAAGGUAGGGGGUUGGAGGUAUAAAGACAUGAGAAGCUUAGAUAUUCACCUUAGCUUAUUGGGAAAAUAAUUGUAGGCUACUAACAUUAAUAUUUGUAGAAACCAAUCGAUUAAAUAUCAAUGAGAAAAAUGAAAAGGCGAAAUAUUUCUUUCUUUCUUUUCUCUAUUUUCAUUCUCUUACACCCAAAGCACACUAAUAAUAGACACAGUUCUUGAAAAUUCCUAGGAAGUAGGGACUAAGGCUUACAUGGAACUUGCCAUAUUAAGGGGUAAGUUUUAGAGUAGCUCCUAAAAGGGAAUGUGAAGACCACAGAUGGGAUCUUAGUGUUUCAAAUUGAAUGUAUAGAUAGAGAAAAUAUGUAUUAUGUUAUGAGAGGUGUAGGUGAAAAGAAGCUGACCUUAAACCAUUGUAGUUCUCUUUCUGCAGAGCGGCACCUGAAAUACCAUCAAGCUGUUCCGAUGGUGCUAACAUCGCAACCAAAUGUAGCAUGCUAUUUCCAAACCUAUCCAAAGGAGAUAUCACUUUCAUCUUCUGUGCGUCAGUAAGCCCAUGUAAAAGGUUGAAAAUCUUUUCCUGACGGUUCAAAAUAGCAAUAAAAAAUAUGUUUCUUCCAUUAAUAUCACGGCUCCACGCUAACUCAGGAAUAGACUUAAUCAUCUCAGUGUCAAACUCAACAUUCCCUCGCUUGACAGCCUGGAAGACUGCUUGGUGCACUUGAAAACCAAGGACGUCAACUUUCAUAUUUUGUAGUUCAAUACAAAUGCUCCCAAGAAUUUUGAUGGCUUGAGCAUGCCUCAACUUUUGAUCAUGUAUGUUCUUGAUUCCUGGGUCAUUGAUCCAAAUAGAUUUAAUUAAGAUUGAAUAAGAUUGAGUGGUCAGGAGCAAGGAACCCAAAUAAACAUUUAAUUGAACAAUUGUAUCAUACCAGGAAGUUUUUGUGGAUAUGAAACCAGCCCAUGCAUUAAUUGACCUAGUCCUGCAAUAAAAAUUAGAAAUAUUAGGGGCUUGAUAUACAUUAUAAAAAUUCCUUAAUAAUCCUUUAUGCUAGUUUAUUAUAAUUUAAGUGAAACCUUAGUAAAGCCACUUACACUAAAUCGUUGUCUCUAUUCACAAGGUUUUUAGUGCCUUGUGUCACCACAAAUUUGCUCUACACGAAUGCACCUUGGUAUAGCACACUACCCCUUAUAAUGAACGCCCACCAUCAUAGAUGCAAAGGCAGUGCACCUAUCACCUCCAAAUGGAAAGGUGUUUUUAAGAAGGGUAGUGUUUUUCCUCAUGCAUAAGAAAGGUAGGAGCCAAUAUGGGUGACUCUUGCAUGGAUGCUGUUAAGACACACCUCCUCCUUCAAUUUUUUGGAGGGGCUCCUCCAAAUAUUGUAUCCUCCAUGAAGUCUCCACUUCAUCUUUACCUCCGUACAAAACAUCUUUCUUAGGGUGUGAGACCUUAUUGCUACCACAUUUGCAUAAGUUCAAACCGGAGUUCUAAAAGUCCUAUGCAGACUUCAUCUACCUCAGUGUUGGGUUUUUAAAAUAAGUUCAAGGCCUUGGUUUGGUGUUGGAUUGAAAGCUUGUCAGUCGCAACAAAAUAUACAGUCUAUAUGCAUUGAAUCCACUUUAAUGAAUUAAAAGGGGAACAUAUCCUUAUUAAGGGACCUGUAACCAUCUAAAGUCAUGAUUCACCACAAGAAUUGAAAUUUAAAUUCGAAGACUGACUGAUAUAGGUCUAUGCAUGGCUGCCUGCUAUUGGUUAGGCUUGAUUGAUCAAUAUGAUUCACCCUUGUCUCCUUUUAUAGUGGGUCCAUUGAUUUAUCUAUGCACAACAUCCAAAAGAGUAGGCUUGGGUCAACAAUUAACUUAAGCAAUUUUUAAAAUAUGCUUAUAUACUUUAUCCAGAAAUCUCACCUAGCAAUGACUUUACAAAGAUGGCUAAUGUUACAUAACAUGAUAAUUCAGGGACCUUAUCCAUGAAAUUAUUAAUAAACAUUAACUCUAUCCACAAAAAUUUAUAGCUUCAAGAAUAAGAGACUUUUUAAAAAUCUUUGUGUUAAUGGACUAAAGCUCGAAUACGGGAUGGUUAAUUCUGAGAUAUUACAACGGGUUGAUGAGGAAAAGAACAGAUUUGCCAAGACUUGAUAAAAUUAUGAACCUUGUGAUCCCUAAAGAUAGCAAUGGACUGGGAAUCUGCAUGUCAGGCAAUGGUCAAGAAGUGAUUUAGUGCUCAGGAGGGUUGUGAAACGCCCUUGGAAUUAUUACUUACAGGUGGUUCGUUGAAUGAUUGUGCUGAACAUAACGAGUGCAAGGCUGACAUGAGUGUGAAUGGCUUUUGUGGGGAGAUCAAGGAGGUUGUGGAAGAGAAAAGUGACGUUUUUUUAUGGAACAGAUGAGCAAACACUACCUUCACAAGGUUGUGAAAUGCCUUUGGAAUUACCCGUUACAGGUGGUUCUUUGAGUAGUUGCGCCAAAGAUGAUGAAUGCAAGGUUAAUUUGAGUAUUAAUGACUCUUGUUGCAAACAGAUUAGGGAGGUUGUAGAAGAGAAAAGUAACAUCUUACUUAUGAUAAAUGAGUAAACAUUUCCAUCUCAGGGCUGUGGAAGGCCAUUGGAAUCACCGAGUAAUUUUGCAGAAUAGAAUAAGCAAAAGGAUUCUGGGGUUGCUGGCUGUCCCUCUGAUGUUAGGGCAACUGAGUUUGUGGAUGAUAUUUUAGCUGGAUCGCCGAACAACAAGAUCAAGCAAAUUUUGCCCUCGCAGGAUUGUAAGAUUCCCUUAGAGCAUUUUUCUAUGGCUAGUUCACCUACUGAUUGUGCUGAAGGGAAUGUGCAGAAGGUUACUGCAAGAUUCGAUGGUUCCUCUGUAGAGACAGUGACUGAGGUUGUGGAAAAGAAAAGUGAUAUUUUUCUGGGAAGCAAUUGGAAUGAGGGAAGGAAUCCAGUUACUCGUAUCAUUCCUAAGCUUAUCCAGUGAAGAACAUCAAGAGUAUGUUGUUUAGUUGCUGGCAAUCUUGACUGACCAUGUUGAUGACAGCAAGUGGGCUAUCACUGCUGCUGGUGGGAUUCCUCCUCUGGUGCAGCUACUAGAGAUUGGAUCUCAGAAGGCAAGGAGGAUGCAACACAUGUUUUGUGGAACUUGUACUGUCACAGUGAAGACAUCCGUGCCUGUGUUGAGAGUGCAGGAGCUAUCACAACAUUCUUAUGGCUCCUAAAAAGUGGUGGAUUGAAAGGACAUAAAGUCUCAGCCAUGGCGCUAGGAAAGCUUGUUUCGCAUAUUUGAUUCUGCCACCAUUAACCAAUUAUUAGCAUUGCUCCUGGGAGAUUCUCCAAGCUCUAAGGCCCACAUAAUCAAAGUUUUGGGUCAUGUACAGACAGUGGCAUCACAUGAAGAUCUUGCGCAUAAGGGUUCUGCUGCCAGUAAAGGGCUGACAUCUCCUAUCCAGGUUCUCAACUCCUCAAAUGAAGGAACCUAAGAGUGUGCAGCUUUUGUGUUAGCCAAUCUAUUCAGCACUAGACAAGAUAUCUGUGAUAGUCUUGCAACUGAUGAGAUUGUGCAUAUUUGCCUAAAGAAGCCAUUAAUGUGAUAAUCUAUGGCUAUUGAAGAUCAAUCAGAAUGAGGAUGUUGAAUGUUGCUUUAAAGUUGUCAUUGAGUUGAGUGAAUGGCCAAGACCUAAAUGACCAAAGUAUUCACCUGAGUUAUGCAAAUCAAAGAACUCCAGGCCCUAUAAUUGGUGGUUUUGGAAGUGGUUAUUAUCAUGGGAAUGGACAGUGAUCUAAUGAGCAGAGUUUUGCUAUUGGAGGUCAAGAGAGGGGCCUAGUAGAUUAAAUGGUUACCUUUCAGAAUUGGCUGCUGCCUUAUGUUCAUCUUUUGGUUCCACGCUGAGAAGAUAGGGUACCAUUGAACCAGUUCUUCCUUUAUAAACAUGGGUACGGAUUUACUCAUCCCCCUUAAAGAUCAAAAAGGAAAGCAGAGUUUUUUUCGCAGAGGUCAUUAAUACAGAAAAACUGUUGUGGUCAUUAAUCCAUUCCAAAGGUUUUUUGCAUUCUGAUAGUCAAGACUUGUACCAAAAGGUUCGUUCUAGUUAUGUGAAAAUCAUCCUGAAUGAACAAGAAAAGAACAACCUCAAGAUGUUGAAUAUUCUUUGUGGAAGCUUCACUAUAAGCAUAUUGAUGAGUUUCGUAAAAGAAUACGCCAAAUUUCUACUAAUGGAGAGAGCAAGAAAUCCACAAUGCCUCAACAAUGGCAAAUAUUGAGAAGGAUUUAAAUUGUUUUUGUUGGAAGCUACUGAAUUUUACCAAGACUUGAUCAAGAAAAUAAGAUGUAAUGGGCUUCCAGAGGAGCCAUUGUUCUAUAGAAAGUCGGGGAUCUAUAGUUCUGUUCUACCAACAAAAAUGCAUGAUUGACAAUUUUCUUGCCAUCUUUUUUCUUUUUAUUUUGUCUUGGGAAUCUUGCUAGAUACAGAGAGCUUUGUGAAAAACCUGAUGUUCAAAGUUGCAACUGGUCAGUUGCUGCUACCUAUUACUUAGAAGCAACAAUGAUUUGGCCAGGUAGUGGAAAUCCCCAAAAUCAGUUGAUUGUAUUGGCAAUAUAUGUUGGUGCUGAGUUCUUUGCUCUGUACCACUGUGUAAGAAGUUUAGCUGUUAAAGAACCUUUCCUCGAUGCUUGGGAGAACCUCUAUUUACUGUUUGAAAAGAACAGAUUAUCCAAUCCACUGGCAGAGUUUGAGGCUACUGAGGGUAUAUGGAUUAGGCUUCAUAGAAAGGAAUUAUUUACAUUGAUGGCUCUAGACCAACAUAUGCUACUGUCACUACUUUCCAGGAAUCACUACUUGCAGCUGGAGCAGGAAUUACCUUAGUUGAUUCAAUGGUAAUGCCUCGACCUCGCACGUAGCAGCAUCAAAGAGCAGCCAAGACCCACCAAUGGGUUUUGCAUUGAUAAGACCUCCAGGUCAUCAUGCUAUUUCAAAAGGUCCUAUGGACUUCUGUGUUUUUGGAAAUAUGGCCAUUGCAGCUCGUUAUGCCCAACGCAUACAUGAAUUAAAGCGUGUGUUUAUCAUUGAUUUUGAUGUUCAUCAUGGCAAUGGAACAAAUGAUGCAUUCUAUGAUGACCCAGAUAUAUUCUUCCUUUCAGCUCAUCAAGAUGGAAGCUACCCUGGUACUGGUAAGAUUGAUGAGGUAGGUCAUGGCAGUGGCGAAGGACGACGACACCAAUUGUUAAAUGAGAUAUGCAGUGAAAGCGGUAACAAUGGGGAUGGUGAUCUUUGUCAUGAUAAGGGUUUUGAAGGUCACGAUUCAUGCUUCAAAUGCUCAGAAGAAUGUGAUAGUUUUGAAGUGAACCAGAAGUCAUUGUCAAGGAGAAAAGGUGAAAGUUCUGGAGUUGGGCAUCCAGGUGAUAAGAUCUUAUUUCAAACCAUCUAUGUUAUUAUCAGUUCUCUGUUAAUUAACGGUCUCUUUCAUAUUUUCAAAGAGCAAGUGCACAUGGCUACCCUAUUAGAAAGCACUUUGCAGCGGUGCCUUACCCUAGUGUAGAGAUUGGUACAAGAAAGCAGGGUCGUAUUGCCUCACUUCUUCCUACUUAUGAAGAUGGAUUAUGCCCACUCCUACAAAGAGCAAUUCUGAACAAAACAGGAACCUAUGUUCAGAUCUCUUCUAAAGCAGAGUCUAUUAUCUGGCGUGCUCUGAGGCUUUUCUUCCUUAAUGGAGAGCAGGAUCUACCAGCAUUUCUACUAGUUGAUUUAGGAAUAGUCAAGUAUCCAACUUAUAACCGCAUAAAUUCAGAUCAUAUCUUCCCAGGCUUGAAUGAUUUACUUGCUUAUGAAGAGGCCAUUGAAGUUGCACAAAUAAUGGAUGAAGUUCUUGAUGACAAUAACAGUGGAUUGGUGUUAAGAUGCAUUAGUAUAUCCAACUCCCGCCUAUUCAUUUCCUGUUCAAAAUCAACUCAAGCUUCAGUUUCUAAAUCAGCAGCUACAUUCCUUUCAUGCCUUUUAGCAUCAGGGGUAUACUUGAAAGCGGUCUUGUUGGGAAUUUCCUUUCUCAAACGUGAGCACGGCUAGUUGUGUUAUUUAAUGUCUAAAAUUAUCAAAUUGUUGUGCUAAGGUAUGAUGAUGCAGUACAUUUACUGAAGCAUCUGCUGGAUGGUUUUAUUUGCGAUGGAAGAAGAGGAUAUUGGACCUUGAGAUUGUCAGUUGAUUUGGAGCAUUUAGGACGUCUCAAUGACAGACUUUCAGUUACUGAGGAUAGACUUAAUCAGACUGACAUUGCUAGCUAACAAUGGAGCUUGAUAUCAUUUUCAGACAGAUCUGUUCCUAAAAUGUAUAAUAUUUUAAUUGGCAAUACAAAAUAUCAAGCAGCCUUGGAAUUUGUUGUUCGCUAUGGACUGGAUACAAAUGAAGUUUUAAGUCACAAUGGUUGCAUUCUGGCCAAGGAAUAAAUGAAAUAAACACGCUUUUGACAAAUAUUAAAGAUCAAGAUUUUGUAUUAUUUGAAUGUGUUAAUAAAGUUGGACCAACGGAAGAUGCUGUGGAGACUUUACUUGCCUAUGGGCUCCAUCUAACUAGUCGGUAUAGGUUUUCUAAAUCAGAUGAUCAUAGGAAUGGCUAAAUUUGGGAUUUCCGUCAAGUAAGACUACAGUUAUUGCAGUUUAGAGACAGGCUGGAGACAUUUUUUGGGAUGUACAUGUCAGGUUCUCUGUGCAGGAAUACAACAAAUUUCGCAUUAUGCCCAUCAAUGAAGCUGCUGUUGCAUUUGCUGAAAGUGGAAAAAUUGGGGCCUUACACCACCUUUUCAACCAUCAUCUUUAUACACUCACUCUUUCAAUUCCAUGCUAGAAAUUUUAGCUGUUGUCCCUGAAACAAUUCCAAUUCAAACAUAUGGGUAGCUCCUUCCUGGGAGGUCUCCUCCUACUAGUUUUGCUCUGAGGGAAGAAGAUUGGGUUGAAUGUGAAAGGAUGGUAAGCUUUAUCAACAGAUUACUUGAGGAUAAAGACACUACAAGGAAAAAGGUAUGUGGUGACAUUUAUAACGAGUCACCAUAAACAUAGGGUGUCACUACAACAUAACGUCACCUUCUCCACUGACACCAUAGAGGGUACCAAUUGGUGACGUAUUUGGAAGUGACACCAAAGUAGAUAAAUGGUGACCCAUUCGGAAGUGACAUCAUAUAUUUCUAGUGAUGAUAGGGUGUCACAUUAAAUACAUCAUCUUUGAGUUAUGAUGUCACAUUAAAUGCAUCACCUUUGAGUUAUGGUAUCACAUCAUUGUAAAUUAUUGUGGAAGAUAUAAUUGGUUUUAGUUGUUGAUUUUUGUAAUGCUUAUGAAUUAAUAAGAUUAACAUGUUUAUAUUUUGUCCAUAAAUAUAACAACCAUAUUAUAUUUAACUCAUUUUUCUGUAAUGUUUCUGGAAUAACUCAUAAUACAUUAAUCAUCUAAUAAUAUUUGUAUAUCAAAUGUUCACAAAAUGAUAGUACAUCCAACAUAUCAAACCCAUCAAAACUAAAAAAAGAAGAGUGAAUACAUACCAAAACAUGAUUCAGAAAUGUUAAAGAUCCCAAGAUUCAUGUAUACCUCCAUUUCAUAAGCAUAAAACCGGCUAACCAUAAAAUGACAUAAAAGUCUCAUCUAAAAAUCUAAAUUUUUCAGUUGCAAUUAAAGUAACGUUUAUGUCCUAUAACGUAUGACAUAAGAGUUGCAUUUAAAAACACAAAAUCUUGUUGCCUUCUUCUUUUUUUUUAUUCUCCAUUUCACCAUCCCAAGAGUGUAUACCUGCAUUUCAAAAUUUAAUGAGUUUUAGAGAUUUUUAUUGAAGAAAAUAAACAUGGAUCAAUGUUAUCAUAAAUGAACAAAUCUAAUAACUAUUUUUUUUUCAAAUAGAAACAUUAUUCAAAGAAUAAGCAUUACUAUACAAUACCUAUGGAAAAAUUCAUGUAGUAGCUAAGAGACUCACCAUGCAUGGUGAUCAUGAUGCAUCAACAUGAUUCAUGAUUAGUUGUAGCACAAAAGUAGCCCAUUCUCCUCUAAUUUCAUCGAAUUCUACUUAAGAAUAUGUUUUUUUUUUUAUCACCAAACUGAAAUCAAAUAAGAAAAUAACAUUAAAAUGCAUAACAUUUGGAGGCCUAAAACUAUGUACAAUUCAUUAAAUAAGUAAUACCUUUGAAGCAAUAAUUGUAGGAUAAAAAAUUAUCUCUUUAAUGAAUCUCAUAACAAAGUAGCCACAUUUGAACCCUCCUUCUUGUCUUGGACACUAAUCGAUCAAUUAUAAAAUAACAUUAGUACUCACAUAUAUAAAUGGUGCAAAUGCAUAAGCUAAUGUGUAAAGAAAAAUUUUUGGAUGUCACCUGCACUAGUUGCUAAGAUAGCUCCCUCUUAGAUGUUUUCUUUGCAAAUAUUCGAAGAGCCCUAUGUAAAUAAGUUCAAUGGGUACAUUUUUAAAAUAGGUAAAUGUUAUAUGUUUUAAUAUAUAUAAAUAAUAAAAAAAAUGUGUUUGAGGUGAAUGUAUUUUUUUAUUUAAAAAUAAUACUAUGAAAAAUAAUAGGAAGAACUUACAUGUUUACGAUGUCAUUUAAGUCCUCACAUGGUUUGUGAUGCAUAGGGUCAAGAUAGUGGACUAUCAUUUUCCUUGGCUCAAGCACUACCUAAAUAUAAACCCUUUAAGUCCUCAUAUCUAUUUCUAUUAACAAAAUAUAAAAACUUUCCAAAACUCAACUACUUAAAUAUAAAAACAAAAUCAAAUAAAAUAUCUAGCUAAUUGGAUUUUAGAAACUAAAUAAACUAUAAAUAAACUAAAUAUAAAAACUAAAUAAAAUAUCUAUGCCCAAGAAUUAAUUGAAUAGGAUAGAAAGACACAGAGAGAACAUGGUUAUGGUUAUGAUUUCCAUCUUAUCAUCUCCUGUCAAUACCACACAUGCCCAUUUUAAGGUUGGACACUACUUUUGUUGCUAGACUUGGAAAGGGAAUUUCAAAAUUGAAAACAUAAAUAAACCCUUAUGUAAAAAAAAAAUAACAUUAAAAUAUAAUUGAGCAUUAAAAUAUUUACUCUCUUUCAUCACUUUCAUUUGAAUAUUAAUAAUCUCUUAUUGAGAUAGAUACUUACAAUUUAACAAAAUAGAAAUUCCUAAUAAAAAAAUAUAUAAAAAUUUCUAUUUCUAUUAACAAAAUAUAAAAACUUUCCAAAACUCAACUACUUAAAUAUAAAAACAAAAUCAAAUAAAAUAUCUAGCUAAUUGGAUUUUAGAAACUAAAUAAACUAUAAAUAAAUUAAAUAUAAAAACUAAAUAAAAUAUCUAUGCCCAUGAAUUAAUUGAAGAAGAUAGAAAGACACAGAGAGAACAUGGCUAUGGUUAUGAUUUCCAUCUUAUCAUCUCCCGUCAAUACCACACAUGCCUUCCCGGAUUGGUCCUUUUGGGGUUGGAUACUCUCAACGAAAUUCUAUAUCUCAUUCCCACUUAGAUACAAACAGAAAAAUCAUUCCUUUUUUUUUCCUCUCUCCUUUUUUAGAAAUGAUGAAGAUUAUGUGAUAAUAAAUCUCAAAAAAAAUUUGUACCUGUCAUUCUCACACAAAUACAUAUUAAAAAUCAUUCAUUUUUUUUCCUGUUUUUCACUUUUUUUUAAGGACUUGAUCAUGUGUUUGGUUUAGAUUAAAAAAUCAAUUAAUCUACAGUUUUUUCUUCUAUGCUAGAAGAUUAAACCUAAAUUUUUCUUCCCUACAACUCAAGAAAACACAAUUCACAAAAACCAUAAUACAAAGAUGUUGAAACAAUUAAUAUAAUGACAUUAAUAAAAGAAAAAAAUGAUAGAUCCAAGAGAUUUUGGGUUACCUGGGAGUCCACAAAGUGAAGAAUGUCCAUUGUGAGCGUGUUGACUAUGGAUGGGUGAGAGAAAAGGUUGAAGAAGAUCAUGAUUUUAUAUAUAGGAUUUAUAUAUUGAGAUUUUUUGGAUUGUGGGUGAGAUAUGGAAACAAUGGGAUUUUUAUAUAGUAUCCAUCAUUAUUAAUUCUAAAAGUGGGCUCAUUAAGUUAUAAUACCUAAAAAAAAUUAUUUUAUAUGAUGUCACUUCCCAAAAAAUGACACUAUAAAUAUAAAAUUAAUAUCAUCUAACUACCUCAAUUGAAGAUUUUUUAUAUGAUGUGUCACCUUUAUUAAUUAUAAACCCUAUGGUGUCAUUAUUUUAAAAGUGACACCGUAAAUAGUGACACCAUAAACUAUUUUUGUAGUAGUGAGAGAGCGGCAUUCGCAUCAGAACUGAACCCAUUGUGAGGUAGAUCUUGGGAUUCUCUUGGCCAUCAGCUGAUGAACUUUCUAGUUGAUACAAGUGUUGAAGUUUUUAUUGGUCAAAUUGUUGACCUCAAAGAACAACAAAAUGUUCUUGAAAUCAGUCAAGAACACAUCGAAAUCACUACAUCACUGGAGGAUUAUUAUGUUGCCUUGAACCCAGUCAAACGUGUCACCCAUGUUUCCUAUACAAUUGACAACUCCAACGGAUGGAUUCUGACUGCAAAUCCUCAAGAGUUCAAUGGGACGAACCUUCAUCCAUCUUGGAGCCAUAAAUGAAAGCCCCUAUACCAUUCACCAAAUCUUUAUUGAAUGUGACAGUCCUCUUUGAUUCAGUAUUCAGUUCCAAGCAUCCCUAUUAUGAAGAAAGAGAUAGAGAAGUGAUGAAACCUUGGCAUUGAGCAGUUAGUAUGGAAUACAGAAAACCUAUCAAUGCAGAAAAUUGGGAAUUUUGAAUUUUUCGUUCAGUGUCGACUACUGUUGGAGAGAAUCCAGUUGAGCUUACAAAUCAGGUUGCCUCUUAAAUUGAAGCAUUUGAUAGUUGAACAUCUUUACAAUGAAUUGGUUUCUUCUAUCUAAAAUCUCCUAGCUCUACUCCUUAAGCCACCUUGGUGCACACCUCUUCCUCUAUUUGAUUCUUGGAUUGAAGAUUUACAUUUUUGAAUUGGAUUUUCAAAUCAUUUUCAACUGAAUAAUUCUAGCUUUAAAAAUCCAUCUCUAGAUUUCUUCUAGGCAAUAAAAUCCAGAUUUUAAUAAUCCUUUGCUGCCAUUUUUUCCUUUUGACAUGCAUUUUCACAAUUUUCUUUGACUUUCAACCAUUUUCUUGAUUUUCUCAAUUUUCAACAAGCAUGAAUAAACUCUAUGAUUCCAAACAAUGAAAUUCAUAGAAUCAAUUCAUGCAAGAUUUAUUAGGGCUUUGGAGGGACCCGAAAUUCAUGAUAUUCUCUUCAAUAUUGUUUGCUUGAUAUCUGAUUGAUUUUUUAUUCCUCUUGAUGAUAUACAUUUAUGAAUUUGUUUUAUAUUUAUUGUUGAGCUACCCUUGUUUCCCAUGAAGGUGUUGAUGCCCGCUAACCAGGUACACUCUUUUUGCCCCCCAACUUUAAAAUUUCUCUGAAUGUGUAUGUUAUCAUGAGCCAUGUCCAUGUUUGAUGUCAUACUUGAUUGCCUUGAUGCUCAUUUGAUUAUCUCCGAUAGAAUGCAUGUUGUGUGUCAUAUUUCUAUACUAACUUUGAUGUUUUAUGAUAGCACUUGAGAAGCAGUUCAGGUACACACUUUAACUCUCUUUUAUGAUCAUGAUUUGACUUUCUGGCUUCAUAUAUUAACUUUGAAAUCACCUAACUUACCUAGGUAUCUAUGAUCAACCAAUUAAUUGUCACAUUUCCCUCAGCUUAGUCAGUAGAGACCUUUAUAGGGCUUAAAGGGGUUCUACCUUUAGAGGUACCUUCCCAAUAGGUAAUCUGAUUCCCCGACCUAGACUUGGGUUUUUCAAAUACAUGUUUUUCCAAAAACUAUGGAGUCAUUUUUCAGGGUUUUAUUUCUUGUUUUAUUUUCCCUUUAAAAUAAAAUAAAAUAAGUGGCAACUUCAACUUUUUCAAAACUAUUUUUUUCACAAAUAAAAGCGAGUUUCACCGAUUGGGUGAGGACACACGUGAAAAAUGCGGGUCCACAAUCCAUUUGAUUCUUUCACCUUGAUCACAAUUUGAAAGACGAUGAUAAAAAUUUUUAUUUUAUUUUAGAGAUCAAUCAAGUGCCACGAGUGGCUUGUUCCCAAAUGAACUCAUUGAAAGGCAAAAAUAGUAUGUAGUACUUCUAUCGUUUCUUAAACUUGCAGGAAGAUUUUUUAAAACUUUUUUUUCUUUAUUAAGCCUCAUUUCCUAUAUAUAGUCAUUUUGUCAAUCUUAAGAAGCCCCUUCCUUGAAGGAAGUCACCUCUAUCUAUAAGUGAAAUUAGGGAAUUAAGUUUUGAAAUCCCCAAGAUUUAGUUGAUUGAUUCAAAUAAUUUUAGUUCUUUGAUUUUAGCAAUUUGUCUUCUUCAUUAAGGAAAGUUGCCAACAAGAGAAUAUUUAUUUAUUCUUUAUUCUCUUUUGACUUCAAUUGGAAUAUUUGUUUCCUUUAGAAAUUUGUAAAUGAGAGAAUACUUUAUUUUAUUUUAUUUUAAUUCUCUUUUGGUAGCAAUUCGAAGUUUUGAAUUUAUUUGUAAGACUAAAUUUUGUGGUCUUCCAAAUUUCGUCACAUGUCAUCUUUUUAAUACAUGCCACAUGUCAAAUGUGUAUAGGACCUAUCACUUAUUAAUUCCAAAUUUUGUCGAAUUGGGGAGUUAUAUUUUUUUUAAGACUAAUUUAGUGAUAAUUUAUUUCACUAAAAAUUUUGAUUUUUGAAAAUGACGAUUACAUUAUCAAGUUGUAUAAUUUUGUCCCCAUUACAACAUUCAACUUUCUUAGCUUUCUAAAAGAAUUUUAGUGUUGACAAAUUUGAUUAUUUAUGUAGGAAUAAAAAUUCUCUACAAGUCUCCAAGAAAAAUGUUAUAUAUUUGAUCCUUAUAAGGCUCAUUAAAUACCUAUCAGGAGGGUUUAAUUUAUGUGUGAAUCCCUCAACUAGAUUGUAACAUGAGUUAGUAGGCUUCACUCUUUUGAGAAUCAAAUGUGAAAGAAUGUGAAUAUUUUUUAAAAAGUGUUAAGAUAUAAAUUUGGAAGCAUAACUAUUUUGGAUAUUUAGUUUGCUUUUGUGUAUUUUCUCGAUCAUUAAAUCAGUUUUCAAGUUUUAUCUUAGUUAGCUUCUUUGAGUUUCAACAAUAGUUCAUUAAUUUAACAUAGAAAAUUGAAUUAUCAAACCCCUAAAUUCUAUUGAGAUUGACCAAACUAUUAUAUCUAUAAUUGGUUUUUCUUUAUUUGGACUUUUAAUAUGGGAAACAAUAACCUACAACCUUACAACCAUGUGAAUAAAAAAUAGUCUAUUUUUUAAAAUAGAAAACUGUUUUUAAAAAGUCAUAGCUUAUUUUUUGUUUUUAAUUUUUAAAAAUAAAGUGAAAUAGAUAACCGUUUUUAGAGAACGAUUUAGAAAUUGUUUUUAUCAAUUUUUAAAAACAAAAGGGAAAGUCUUUAAAAAAAACAAAUAAAAUUGAAUUAGAUACCAUUCUUUUUCUCUCCCUAUGAUUUAAUAUAAAUACUAAAAACUUCAUAUAUUCCUUUAAAUUUCAUCUGUUUUUUAAAAUUUCUUUUAACUUCUUUAAAAUAUUUUAUCAAACAGAUAAAUUCUAAAUCAAACUAUACUUGGUACAUAGAAUUUAUUAAUUUUUAAAAACAAUUUGAAACUCAAAAAUUGAUUUAAUUAAUGCUAAAGCGUUAUGAAAUUGAAUAACAUUAUAAAGUCAUAACCCAAAAUUUAUAUUAAAUGACUUGGUUAUUUUCUUCUUUAAAUAUAUCAUAUCUUUAUGAAAAUUUUAAUUAGGCAAAUGAACUCCAAAUUAAGAAAUAAUUAAUGCGUUAGAUUUAUUCAUGAAUCUAGUAAUUUAUAAAAAUAACUUAAAACUCAAAUAGUGAUCCAAUUAAUAACAAAAAGGGAUCUAAAAUGACUUUAUUAUUUCUAAUUUAGGUAGAAUAAUUAUUUUUUGAUUUUUUUUCAUUAGGCAAAUGAAUUACAAAUUAAACAAGACUUAAUGCAUAAGAUCAUUAUUGAUUCUAGUGAUUUUGAAAAAUAAUUUAAAACUCAAAUAAUAAAUUCAUUAAUAACAUAAAUUUAUAGAUAAAAAUUAGUUCAUAAUAACUAUAUUAUUUCUUUUAGGCACAUAAUUAUAUUUUUAUAAAUGUUUUUACUAGAAAAAUGAAUUCCAAAUCAAACAAUACUUUGUAUUAAAUUUAUGAAUGGGUUUAAAUAUUUUAUAAAUACUUUAAAACUCAAAAAAUAGAUCUAAGAACUAAAAAUAAUAAUAAUAAUAGAACAAAACUAACAUAUAACUAGUCCUGACUUUAUUGUUUCCUCUUAUGCACAAACUAUAUUUUUUGAAUUUUCUCACUAGGUAAAUAGAUUAUAAUAAUAAUAAUUUAAUUUUUUAUUUAUUUUUGAGAAUAAUUUGGAAUUCAAAAAAUUGAUCCAAUUAAUUGCAUAAUAAAUCAAAGAAUUUUAGAAUAUUAUAAUCAUAAUUGAGUACUAAAUAUAUGCAUGUAAUGAAAAUUUUGACUUAUUUACAUGUUAAAAAAUAAACUUUAUUCAUUAUUCAUUUUUAAUAAAAUAUCAUUAAUAAUUAAUAUUUUUAAAUUAUCAUUAUUCAUUUAAAAAUAAAAAAUAAAUAAGAAGAUGCUAAUAUUCUUAUAUUUUUAACAUAUACUAAAAUGGUAUAUAUUUUUAAUAAAAAAAUACAAUUUAUAAUUUUAUUAUACUAUUACCAUUCAUCAUUUACUAAACUAUUUAUUUUUUAAUUUAUUUAUAAUAAAAAUAUAUAUUCAUUUCUAAUAAGACUUGAAUUAAAUUUAAUUUAUAUUAUAUUUAAUUUUCAAUAUUUUACAACAUCAAAACAAAAUAAUUAUUUUUAAAAACAAAUUAUCCAAACAAGUUUUUUAUUUUUAUUUUUAAUUUUUAAAAACUGUUUUUAAAAACAACUUUUCAAACACCUUUAUUUUUAUAAAACAUUAAAAAAAAACUUUUAUUUUUAUUCUUUAACUUAAAAUUAGUUUUUAAAAAAACAUAAAAAAAAUCCCAAAUGCGCCCUUAAUUUACAAAAAUCAUGUUUUUAUUAAAAAAACCCCAAGGCAAACCGAUGAGUAAUGGUGGGCUUAACUAAUGAGACGUGAAAUGUCAUAAAAUUUUUCUAUGGUUAUCCGUUCAAAAGAAUUAUUAUAAGAGAAAAAUUGAAUUUACUAGUAAAAGGGGAAAAUAUUAAUAUUUUCUUUUUCUUUUUCUUUUUUUAGUUUUGCAUGUAAAAAAAUAUAAAUAAUGAAAAUUUAAAAAAUAUCAUAAAAGAAUAAUAGGAAGGGAGUGCUUUUAGCUAUAAGCCCUUCUAGAAUUGAGUAAUAAAUGUUUUUAAUGAUUCAAAAUAUAACAUGGAUUAAAAGGCAAGGAAAUGAUUCCAUUCAAUCACAGAAAGUUGGAUACCAAUUGGCAUUUUGUCUUUGAUGGAAAAGUAAAAUAGCACAAAGAUGUACACUAGGGGAUAUUUGGCCCUCCAGCUUGAUCGUAGAGAGUGGAUCCUAAUCAUCCGAUAAGAUAUGGCCACAAAAAUUGUACUAUCUUCAAACCAAAAGUUUUGAAUCAGAAGGUGGUACCAAAGUUAAAAGGGCAUGGAUGAUUUAUCAAUGGGGUAAAGUCUAAUGAAAAGUCUACCUCUCCCUUUGAUGAAAGAGAUAACAACUUUUAACUUAAAAAAAAAAUGAUAAAGUUUAUUUUUAAAUUGUUGUUAAUAAUACAAUUUUAAAUCGUUCAACACUAAAUACAAAACGAUUUAAUUUCUAGAAGCAUUUAACUAACAAUUUGUAAAAAUAAUUUUUUAUUCCAUAUUUAUUUUUCUUAUUAAAUGAUUUUUUUAUUAUUAAAUAAUUUUGUACUAAAAUAUAUCUUUAUUAUAAGUUCCUUAUUGUAAUACAGGUAGUAUGCUAGAAAGAACCUAUUUUAGUCGAUUUAUGAUAAUUAUAUUAAAAUAUUAAAAACUAUUUGAAUUAAUUUAUGUUGAAAUUGAAUUUCUUUCAAAAUAAAAACAUUUUUUUAGUUAUUUAAUUGAAUAAAAUUGAAAACUGAAAUAAACUAUAAUGUAAUUCAUUAUAAGAAACUCAAUUUUUAUUAAAGGGUUGAUGAGAAAUUUGGAAAUUAUGAUUAUGUUUCAUUAAAUGAUUUUCAUAAAAACGAAAAAAUGAUGAAAUAAAUUAUGUAAUACAAUUUUUUAUUUGUUAUGAACAAGGUUUAAAAUAUCGGUAAAUACGGAUACAUUGGUAUUUAGAUUUUACGGACAUUUAAGAAAUAUUGGAGAAAUAUCGGUAAAUCUUUUACAAAAAUAUCAGUAAAAUAAAAAUUAUUUAAAAUUCAUGAAAAUAUUUGAAAAAAAAACUCUAAAAAAUUAUAAAAUAAAUAAAAAUACACAUUUUAAAGUUAUUUGGUAAAUGUAAUUAACAUAGAUAUUGUUAUGAAGAAAAAUAUUCAUAUGCAAGGAUAUAAGCGUUUUAAUAUAUAAUUUAUUAUUUAUCUUAUCAGAUUAAUUUUAAUUUAUAAAAUAUUACAACUUUAUUAUUUAUAUUUUUAAUAUUUUAAAAUAAAAACAUUCAAAAUUAAAAAGAUAAAUAUAAAAAAAAAAAAAAAGUGAAGUGAUAGUAAUUUUUUAGAAUAUAAUUAAUGAGAUAAAUGAUGAUACAUUUAAUAUUAAAACUAUAAUUUAUUUAAUUUAAAUGCAUUUAAUAGUAUGAAAUAAAUUAUGAUACAUAUAUGAUUUUUGUUAAUAUUCAUAUUUUUUACAUUUAAUUAUCAUAUAAAUAAUAUAUAAAAAAGACUUAUUAAAAAAAUUAUAAUAUUGAUUUUAUAUUUUUAUUAAUCAAUUAAAUAUAAUUUAAAAUAAAAUAAUUAGAAUUAGGUUUUUUUUUCUUUUUUAAUGAUAAACUUUAACAAAUUUAAAUUGAACAUAUAUUAUCAAUGAACAUCUUAGUCCCCCCGUAGCCAAGGCUUACACUCAAACCUUUUGGUCUGGGUUCGAAUCCCCUAGGCUACAAAAUAAUGAUGCAUGGUGGGUGUGCAGGCUUGCGUGACUCGCUCUUUAUUGUGAAAAAAAUCAAUUUUUAGAAAAGGACUUGGAGUUGUUACUUAUUUUUUGUCUAUUUGUAAAAGGCAAAACAAAAUAAGAAAUAAAAUCAUAACUGUGAUUCUUGAAAGGAAAAACGGGUCUAUGAAAACGAGUUUGGGACUGAAGGUUAGGUUACCUAUUAGAAAGGUAUAACAAUGAGCUAUAACACUCCUCUAAGUCCUAAAAUUAGGUCUUUACUAAUCAAGUGAAGACAUGUAUGACAAUUAACUAGUUAAUCGAUGGAUAUUGAGAAUGAUAAGUCAUAUAAUAAAAACAAGUCAUACAUGAAGAAUAAAUGAACAAGGCAAGAAUGGGAGUGUACCUUAGCAUCGAGCAAUAAUGUGCUUUCAUAAGAAAACAAGGUUAGUGCACCAUAGUAACUAUGAAAUAUCUUAUAUAUCACAACAGCAAGUUCAGAUCAUGGUCAAUUAACAUCAAACAAGUAUUUACUUGCAUUAUUAUUAAAGAAAAUAUCAUGGAUGUUGGCCCCACUAAGACCUAAUUUAUUUUUGUAUGAAUUAAUUUCAUAAAUUCCAUUUUUUUGGAAUCAUAAAAUUUAAUUAAUCAUGUUUUUUAAAAAUCGAGAAAAUCAUGAAAAUUAUUAUAAAAGACAAAGAAAAUGCAUGCCAGAAGAAAAUUUGGCAGCAAAAAGUUUAUUGAAAAUAAGGAUUUUAUUGCCUACAAGUGUCUGAGAAUGGACUUUUAAAGUUGGGAUUAUUUGAAUGGAAAAAGGACUUGAAAAUUUAGUUCAAAACUGUAAGUUCCCGAUCAAACAAACAAAUGGAGGAGGAGAGUGUGCACCAAGGUGGCCAUGGUGGAGUGGGGGCCUGGGGGUGCAAUUAAGACUGCAUUGCUGAUGUUGGUGGUUGAAGUUCCAGGAGAUACAACUGAAGCGGCUCUGGUAGUGGUUGGAGAUGCAUUUGGAUCGAGUUCCUUAUUUGCAUAUUUGAUUCGGGGAGCUUCAGAGUCAGCCACCAUUUCCAGCUGGAUUUUGAGAUUCUGGAUCCCAUGCAACUCCACAUCACGAAACCAUGUACAGUCAAUAUUGGUCGAAGAUCCUGCUCUGCUUCUGCUGAACCACGCAUAGGCAGCACUUGGACAACCCUACUGCUUGUAGCAGAGUGCAUGCUCCUCUCACUUGAGUGGUCUCCUGACCAUCUAGCUCCCGUGGCCCAAAUGCACACAUACAGGACUUCAAUGACCUUUACCCCAAGUAUAGACGAAUUUACUGGAAUCAAGUACCACCAUACAGGACUUCAUUGAUCUGCAGUAGCUCACAACUUACCCUACUGAUGCUGGAAUUGGCUUAGAACUACUGAUUUAUCAAUACCAAUCUCUUUUGAUCGUUGCUUAUGCAUAAAACCAUCUCUGUUAAGUGUUCUUCAAGUUGUUUCCAUUUCAGGUUAAGUGUCAAAGCCCAGUGACUUUCAAGUUCAGCGAAUGAUUUCCGGAACUGUUGAAUCUUCAGGUUGUACGUACACUUGGCAAUGACUUCAUUAAGGACCCAAUGAUCUUUUUCUCCUCAUUGCCAACUAUUCUGGCUACUGGAACAUCAGAGACUUCUUUGCAUUUUGAGCUCCCUUUCUGUGACUUGGGCUUUAGAAGUUCCUUAAGGGUACGAUGCUACAAGGCCUGAUGAAGAGUUGGUAUGACACUUUUCAGAAGCCUUUCUCAGAGCAUUUUUAUUUGACAAGAGAAUGAGAAGUUCCUUGAGCGUUCCUUUUGCAACCAAAAUCACCGAGGCUAGGGACGAGCAAGAACAGGCUAUCCGAGCAGUAACUCCACACUGCACUCGUGUCCUUCAAAUGUUCCAAUCCAAUCUCUAGUCUCUCAAUCUCAGAGCAUGGGGUUAGGACCAUUGCUGGCGCUGGUAAGAAAGAACCCAUCUGAGGUGAUGGGACUGUGGGGCUAUUGAGCCUGCAUCCAAAACGAAUUUCUGAUAUUGCCAAACCAGAGCACUCUCUUUACUUUCAAUGGAAUACUGAUCAGUAAUUUCAAUGUACAACUUCAUCACAGAUUCAGCAUUCUGCUUCCACCCAAAAUCAGAAUUCUCACCACAGGUUUUCCAUUCUUCAUGAUUAAGCUUGAACUCAUGCCUUCGAAGACAGUAUAAUUUUUUCAAGCGAUCUUGUCAAAGAAUUUCUGGUUUCAGCAUUUGUUUUCUGGUUGUGAAAUGCUUUCAAGCUUGGAGCUUUAGAAUCAAAGCAGUUCCCAAGAUUUUUACGCUUCAGGAUUUGUCUUCCAAACAGCUUCUCAUACUUGGCAGAGCCGUUGGUUUGGUUAGAUCGAAGAAUCUCCGGCAGAUGGGUUGAGCUCAUCCUAAGCAUCAAAUCCAUGCGAUCAUAGCAUCUCCUAACUUAAGGAAGUGAGGAUCAACCUUUCCAAACUUAGCCUUGACCUGCUUGGAGAGUUCAAGGUAGCCUUGUUGAACAGUGGUACGUUCUUUUGGAAGUGCUGCGGAUUGGAAGAAUGGGAUCAGCUCUUCUUGCCAGUAUGGUCCUGUAUCUGAAACUGAAGAAUAUACCUGUAGUCACAAUCAUCAACAGACUGAUCACACCUCUCACAUCGCCAUUUCCCAUCUCCAUUGUUCAUAACCUUUUUGUUGCAUUGACGAUCACCAAUCAUAAUGGAGCAUGCUGCAUAACAAAAAUUUUCAACUUUUAUGAAAGAAACAGUUGCACAGACAGUAAUCUAAUCUGGCUUCUCAGAAGUCCCUUGCCUCUCAUCUCUGAUUUGAGAAAUAGUCUUUCGAACAUCUGUUCUGCCAAUAGUUAUUACUUCUCUGGAAAUAGAGACAGAAGGGGUGUUCCUUCCUUCCUUGUCAAACCAUUCUUUAAGCUUGCAGCCUUCAGAAAAUAUGGCUCUAUGAACAGCUGGCUGGUACAAAUAGUCCCCACUGCCUUCAUUGUGAAAUGUGAAUAGCAAGGAUUUCAGUGUCACUAGCAUGAACCACUGGUACAUGAAGCUUAGAAUGCAUCCAGUCUCACCUGAAAUCUUUAUUUUGCCUCACAUGCACAACUCCCCUCCAAUAGCAGUACAUGAGGAGUGAACAAACCAGCUGAAAUCACUGUAUCAGGAGUAGAACAUUCUGUCUAAAAUACCUCAAGACGAUAAGGAAACCACUCAUCCUUCUACUUCUGCUUGUCUGAAUUUUCCUCUAGAACUUCUGAUCUUUCUCAGGAGCGUUGUGGUAUAAAUCAGAAUUAGCAUUUGCCUUUCCUGAGGAACGUUGGUUUUCUCUGACCCGUGCCAGUAAGUCUUGACAAGUCAAGCUAACAACUCGCAGGGUAAAAGAAUUGGGUAUGAAAUAUAAAAUCUUCCUCUGGUAUUUCCUAUUGGAUUUUUGGUUUUUGCAGGCUCUACCUAAUUGAAAUUAUAAAUAGCUAAGUUACUCCGAUCCUCUCCCAUCUGUAGAGAACAAGUGAUAUAAGGCAUUCUCAUUUUCAAAGUGUUAUCUCCCUUUCUCUAUUGCAUCUAGUGUGCGGCUUCUCAAUUGUGGAUACAUGUGAUUGGCUCUUGUAGUCUUUCACUAUCAUGGCAUGAUUGUCUAGAGCAUUGUGAGAGAACCUUUCGAGAUCGUCAAUUUUUUUUCUUCAAACCUCAUAUAAAGUAUGGAAGUGUUUUUAAUUCAAUAAAAUUACAUGCUUGGACGUGAUUUGUAGAAAAUGCUUAAUUGACGUUGUACUUUUCCCAGUAUGCAAGAGUUUUUGUAAACUCUAAACAAGAUUUUUAUAAUGUCUAGUUUAAUAUAAUGGUUGAACUGUGGUCCAACCAACUAUUGAACUCACAGCUCUUAACCUAACAACUUUUCUUAUUAAGUGGCCAAUUGGGUUGGAAAACUUUGUAUGGAUGUUGCUUGCAAGCUUAGUUAUGGAACAUACAGCCACCUUGCCCAGGCUGAAAUGCUAAGAGUUCAUUGAACAGUAUUGAAAAAAAAAAUUAACUUAAAAAGUGUUUCUUAAAUUAAAAAAAAAAAAAAGAAAAGAAAAUCAUGUUUUGGUAAAAUUUAGAAAAUAAUUUUAAAAAUCACUUGUAGUGUUUCUUGAAAAAACACUUCAAUAAGUGAUUUUAAAAAAAAAAAACACUUUUAUUAAAAAAAUAUUUCGUAUAAAAAUACAAUUGACACUAAGUACAUUAAAUUGGGAAAGGGUAAAUUGAAAAUGUUUUUCAUCUUAUUUAUAUUUUGUGAGGUUGACAUCAAAAUUGGGAAAGACUUUUCAUCUGCUAUCCAUUUUGUUACAUUGAAUUUACCAGGUGGCAAGGACCUAAAUUUUUUUUUCUUUUUUUUUGUGCUCAACUAUAAGUUGUAUUAUGCUAUAAGAUGUUCCUACUUGAAUCUAACGUGAAGUAUAAAUUUUACUUUAUAUUUGUAUGUGAAUAACCGUAUCUGUAGUAUCUAUGACUGUGGUUCUCUGAACAAUAUUUUGUUUCCACUUAAUAUUUUAUUUAGAGUGCAUUUGGGAAUGAUUCUAGAAAAUAUUUCUAGCAUUCUUAAUACUUAAAUAAUAAAAAAAUUUCAAGUAUUAAAAAAAUUAAAAACUUUUUCUAGAAUUACUGUCAAAUGGACUCUUAGUAUGAUAGAUUGAUUCCUUUCGUCCACCAUCAGUGCACAUGAUUUAGCCAGAUCAUCUCAAACAUUGUCACUUGUUUUUCUUUUCUUUUUUAGAAAAAAUUGGCACUGCUAUCCCUUGAAUAAUACUAGAUUUGGUUUUUCUUCUAUUGAAAUACUAAACUAUAUUUGAUUCCCAUGAAAUUUGAGAGAAAAAUGUGAGAAAGAAAAUAAAAAGAAAAAAUAUAAAAAAAAAAUUAAAGAAAAAUAAAAAUAUAUUUGAAGUUAAUAAAUUAUUUUUAUAUACUUUUUUAAACUUAUUCCACUUAUUUUUUUCCAUUAUAUAAAGAUUAAAUAAUUUUAAAAUACAUAAUUUUUAACUCAUUUUAAUUAUAUUUAAUUUUCUUUAUUAAUUUCUAUAAUAAAACCAAAAAUAAAAAAAUCAUUUUCUCGUUUUUUUUUCUUACUACUAGAAACCAAAAGGAUUGAUGAUCUUCAUGAUGGUUUGAUUUCAUGAAUACCUUGGACAAUGUCAUAUGUGAGUUUGUGUUCUAUGUUUUUGGGCCAUAGAUUAUUGGCAAUGCAUUGAUGUCACUGGAGUAUAGGUGAUUAGCAACUUAUUACCAGCUUCUAAAAAUUACAUAUUGGAAGAUUAGAAAAGUGCACUGUAAAACUGUGACAGCCUUUCCGGCUUCAAGCAAGCCCGAAGCUAUGCUGACAACAUAUAAGACAAUAAUAAUGAGUAUUGAUAGCAGCUAGCAUGUUUGCUAAAUUAAAAUUGUAUUAGUUUCUCCAUAGGACUUGUUAAUGGUUCACCGUCUGUCCGGAGGGUUGAUUUGGUGGUGCAUACUGUCACUUUUCAGGUGGGUAGGGUGAAUUGCUGCAAGUUGAGAAAAGUCAAAAGUCCAUCUGGUUUAUAAGAGCACUUGCAGAGUAACUUCAAAAAUUGAUAAUAAUUUGUACAAAACUCCAUAAAUUUUAUAACUAAAAGUUUUAAUCACAGAAUUUCACACCAAACCUCAACAUUACAAAAGAUAUGACAAUGCAUAAAAUCGAGGUAAUAUAGAAUCAUAUAGGCAUCAACAGAACUGGUGUGUUUCUUACAUGCACCUUAAAAUAAAACAAAUUAUUGAACAGGCUAAUAAAGGACUUGUUGUAUUUUCCUGUUGGAGAUGCCUGGCCGAUAUGUGAACUUGAAAAUGUUAUGAAGGAGAGGAAAUUGCAGUAAUGCGAAUGUGAUCACUGGAACGGAAGCAAGUGAAAUAAUCGGGAUCAUAACCCCUUCGAUUGAGCUAUUCUUUAGCAAAAUAGCAAUGGCAGAACAGAAGGCUAUCAUCAUGGCCGCAAUAGAGAUAAAAAGGAGGGAUAGGCCAAAUAUCAGCUUUUUGGGCAACCGUGUAAGGAAUUUGUACUCUGCAUAUUGUGAGGUCAAGAUUCCCAGGAACAUCAACACUGAAGUAGUAGCAAAAAAGAGUGAGAUUGAAUCUGACAUUAUAAAAACUACGAAAAAGGUAUCGUCCAAGAAUAUGGGAGCGCCUUUGUCAUUGUUACCCCCAGGAAUAGUGAAGGCUGCAGCAAACAUAAUGGUAACAAUAAGAGCAGCUACAAAUGAACUAGCUGUUGAUAUGUCCUUCAUCCAUUUCUCCCCUUCUUUUAUCAAGUCUGCAUGCUGCUGAGAGAACACCUCACUGGCCUUUUUUCCAUCUGAGUUUUUAAGGUCCUUGAAUAGUGGUGGCACAAUGCUUUCCACCUCCUAUGGUAACAUCAUGAAAAAUUUGAAAAGCACGCUACUAAGAUGUAGGUGAAUGAUUGAUUGGUUGUCUAAAUUCCAGGCAAAAAAAAUAG